UACAGAGGGUGCAAGCGUUAAUCGGAAUUACUGGGCGUAAAGCGUGCGUAGACGGUUGCGUAAGUCAGAUGUGAAAGCCCCGGGCUCAACCUGGGAAUUGCAUUUGAGACUGCGUAGCUAGGGUGCGGAAGAGGGAAGCGGAGUUUCCGGUGUAGCGGUGAAAUGCGCAGAUAUCAGGAGGAACACCGGUGGCGAAGGCGGGUCUCUGGGCCGUAACUGACGCUGAGGAGCGAAAGCAUGGGGAGCGAACAGG
rnacentral:rRNA from 1 species